rnacentral:rRNA from 1 species
GACGAACGCUGGCGGCGUGCUUAACACAUGCAAGUCGAGCGGUAAGGCCCUUUCGGGGGUACACGAGCGGCGAACGGGUGAGUAACACGUGGGUGACCUGCCCUCAGCUCUGGGAUAAGCCCGGGAAACUGGGUCUAAUACCGGAUAUUCACAUCUUCUCGCAUGGGGGGUUGUGGAAAGUCCUGGGCUUUAUUGUCUGGGUUCGGCUGGGGAUGGGCCCGCGGCCUAUCAGCUUGUUGGUGGGGUGAUGGCCUACCAAGGCGACGACGGGUAGCCGGCCUGAGAGGGCGACCGGCCACACUGGGACUGAGACACGGCCCAGACUCCUACGGGAGGCAGCAGUGGGGAAUAUUGCGCAAUGGGCGGAAGCCUGACGCAGCGACGCCGCGUGGGGGAUGACGGCCUCGGUUGUAA